rnacentral:rRNA from 1 species
UACGAAGGGGGCUAGCGUUGCUCGGAAUCACUGGGCGUAAAGCGCACGUAGGCGGAUCUUUAAGUCAGGGGUGAAAUCCUGGAGCUCAACUCCAGAACUGCCUUCGAUACUGGAGAUCUCGAGUCCGGAAGAGGUGAGUGGAACUCCGAGUGUAGAGGUGAAAUUCGUAGAUAUUCGGAAGAACACCAGUGGCGAAGGCGGCUCACUGGUCCGGUACUGACGCUGAGGUGCGAAAGCGUGGGGAGCAAACAGG